rnacentral:rRNA from 1 species
GUGGAUUAGAUACCCUGGUAGUCCACGCCGUAAACGAUGAUAACUAGCUGUCGGGGCUCUUAGAGUUUCGGUGGCGCAGCUAACGCAUUAAGUUAUCCGCCUGGGGAGUACGGUCGCAAGAUUAAAACUCAAAGGAAUUGACGGGGGCCUGCACAAGCGGUGGAGCAUGUGGUUUAAUUCGAAGCAACGCGCAGAACCUUACCAGCGUUUGACAUGGUAGGACGACUUCCAGAGAUGGAUUUCUCCCUUCGGGGCCUACACACAGGUGCUGCAUGGCCGUCGUCAGCU